AUUGAACGCUGGCGGCAGGCCUAACACAUGCAAGUCGAACGAGUGGCGGACUGGUGAGUGAUGUCUGGGAAACUGCCUGAUGGAGGGGGAUAACUACUGGAAACGGUAGCUAAUACCGCAUACCAUCGGAUGUGCCCAGAUGGGAUUAGCUAGUAGGUGGGGUAACGGCUCACCUAGGCGACGCUCCCUAGCUGGUCUGCGAGGAUGACCAGCCACACUGGAACUGAGACACGGCCCAGACUCCUACGGGAGGCAGCAGUGGGGAAUAUUGCACAAUGGGCGCAAGCCUGAUGCAGCCAUGCCGCGUGGAUGAAGAAGGCUUUCGGGUUGUAAAGUACUGUCAGCGGGGAGGCGUUACCCGCAGAAGAAGCACCGGCUAACUCCGUGCCAGCAGCCGCGGUAAUUC
rnacentral:rRNA from 1 species